rnacentral:rRNA from 1 species
GACGAACGCUGGCGGCGUGCUUAACACAUGCAAGUCGAGCGGUAAGGCUCCUUCGGGAGUACACGAGCGGCGAACGGGUGAGUAACACGUGAGUAACCUGCCCUUCUCAUCGGAAUAAGCGAUGGAAACGACGUCUAAUGCCGAAUAUGACUUCGGAAGGCAUCUUCUGAAGUGGAAAGCUCCUGCGGAGAAGGAUGGACUCGCGGCCCAUCAGCCAGUUGGUGAGGGAACGGCGCACCAAGGCGACGGCGGGUAGCCGGCCUGGGAGGGUGACCGGCCACACUGGGACUGAGACACGGCCCGGACUCCUACGGGAGGCAGCAAUGGGGAAUAUUGGACAAUGGGCGCAAGCCUGAUCCAGCAACGCCGCGUGAGGGAUGACGGCCUUCGGGUUGUAAACCUCUUUCAGCAGGGACGAAGCGAAAGUGACGGUACCUGCAGAAGAAGGACCGGCCAACUACGUGCCAGCAGCCGCCGUAAGAC